CCUACGGGUGGCAGCAGUGAGGAAUAUUGGUCAAUGGGCGAGAGCCUGAACCAGCCAAGUCGCGUGAGGGAGUACUGCCCUAUGGGUUGUAAACCUCUUUUGUCGGGGAGCAAAAGCCGGACGUGUCCGGCUGUGAGAGUACCCGAAGAAAAAGCAUCGGCUAAAUCCGUGCCAGCAGCCGCGGUAAUACGGGGGAUGCGAGCGUUAUCCGGAUUUAUUGGGGUUAAAGGGUGCGCAGGCGGAUUUUUAAGUCAGCGGUCAAAUCGUGGGGCUCAACCCCAUCCAGCCGUUGAAACUGGGGAUCUAGAGUGUGCGAGAGGUAUGCGGAAUGCGUGGUGUAGCGGUGAAAUGCAUAGAUAUCACGCAGAACACCGAUGGCGAAGGCAGCAGACCGGUGCACAACUGACGCUCAGGCACGAAAGCGUGGGUAUCGAACAGGAUUAGAGACCCCAGUAGUC
rnacentral:rRNA from 1 species